rnacentral:rRNA from 1 species
UGGGUAACCUGCCUUGUACUGGGGGAGUAGCAGCUGGAAACGGCUGGUAAUACCGCAUAAGCGCACAAUGUUGCAUGACAUGGUGUGAAAAACUACCGGUGGUAUAAGAUGGACCCGCGUCUGAUUAGCUAGUUGGUGAGAUAACAGCCCACCAAGGCGACGAUCAGUAGCCGACCUGAGAGGGUGACCGGCCACAUUGGGACUGAGACACGGCCCAGACUCCUACGGGAGGCAGCAUG